rnacentral:rRNA from 1 species
CGGAGGAUCCAAGCGUUAUCCGGAAUCAUUGGGUUUAAAGGGUCCGUAGGCGGUUUGAUAAGUCAGUGGUGAAAGCCCAUCGCUCAACGAUGGAACGGCCAUGAUACUGUCAGACUUGAAUUACUGGGAAGUAACUAGAAUAUGUAGUGUAGCGGUGAAAUGCUUAGAUAUUACAUGGAGUACCAAUUGCGAAGGCAGGUUACUACCAGUGGAUUGACGCUGAUGGACGAAAGCGUGGGGAGCGAACAGGAUUAGAUACCCUGGUAGUCCACGCCGUAAACGAUGGAUACUAGCUGUUGGGCGCAAGUUCAGUGGCUAAGCGAAAGUGAUAAGUAUCCCACCUGGGGAGUACGUUCGCAAGAAUG